rnacentral:sRNA from 1 species
CAUGAUUGACAAAGUCUGGGCUAGAAUCCAGGCCUCUUCACUCCUUGUCCUAAGUCUGCCCCUACAUUAUGUUUGUCUCACUCAGUAGGGAAGUUUUAAAACAAUUAGAAAAUUGGCUCUUCUCAAUGGUAGCCCUGAUAAUGGGGGGAAGUUAAGCUAAGGAACAAGAGUGGAAACCAGGAAAAAAAAGUAAAAGCUUUUACUUGGAAAGGAUUAGAAGUUGAGAAGAAAAAUGGGGGAGAAUGCACGGGGAAGAACACGGAGAAGACUCCCCACCCAUAGGAAUAGUCGAACACCAGAAGAAUGGCAGUAAAAAUACCACUAGGAUUAGAUAAUGGCCAGUCAACAAAUUCUAAGAGUCUCGUAAAGGCUAUCAUGUUCCCUGGGCUUUGAUGUCCUUUUUAAAAUAAUGAUGAUCUUAAGGUUUGCCUUGGGGCUAACUAGACCUGUACUCUUGCCAGUCCUGGUAUGGCAGACCCAGAGUGCUGAGCAUUCUAAUUUUGCUGUCUUUCCUGCAGUCCCAGAGCCCUUUGGGGGGGCCAUCAUCAUUGGACAGGAGUCAAUCACCUAUCACAAUGGUGACAAAUACCUGGCUAUUGCCCCUCCUAUCAUCAAGCAAAGCACGAUUGUGUGCCACAAUCGAGUGGACCCUAAUGGCUCAAGAUACCUGCUGGGAGACAUGGAAGGCCGGCUCUUCAUGCUGCUUUUGGAGAAGGAGGAACAGAUGGAUGGCACCGUCACUCUCAAGGAUCUCCGUGUAGAACUCCUUGGAGAGACCUCUAUUGCUGAGUGCUUGACAUACCUUGAUAAUGGUGUUGUGUUUGUCGGGUCUCGCUUGGGUGACUCCCAGCUUGUGAAGCUCAACGUUGACAGUAAUGAACAAGGCUCCUAUGUAGUGGCCAUGGAAACCUUUACCAACUUAGGACCCAUUGUGGAUAUGUGCGUGGUGGACCUG